rnacentral:rRNA from 1 species
UACGAAGGGGGCUAGCGUUGCUCGGAAUCACUGGGCGUAAAGCGCACGUAGGCGGGUUCUUAAGUCGGUGGUGAAAUCCUGGAGCUCAACUCCAGAACUGCCUCCGAUACUGAGAGCCUCGAGUCCGGGAGAGGUGAGUGGAACUGCGAGUGUAAAGGUGAAAUUCGUAGAUAUUCGCAAGAACACCAGUGGCGAAGGCGGCUCGCUGGCCCGGUACUGACGCUGAGGUGCGAAAGCGUGGGGAGCAAACAGG